rnacentral:rRNA from 1 species
UCAGGCCUAACACAUGCAAGUCGAACGGUAACGCGGGGCAACCUGGCGACGAGUGGCGAACGGGUGAGUAAAGCAUCGGAACGUGCCCAGUAGUGGGGGAUAGCCCGGCGAAAGCCGGAUUAAUACCGCAUACGACCUAUGGGUGAAAGCGGGGGACCGAAAGGCCUCGCGCUAUUGGAGCGGCCGAUGUCAGAUUAGGUAGUUGGUGGGGUAAAGGCUCACCAAGCCGACGAUCUGUAGCUGGUCUGAGAGGAUGACCAGCCACACUGGGACUGAGACACGGCCCAGACUCCUACGGGAGGCAGCAGUGGGGAAUUUUGGACAAUGGGGGCAACCCUGAUCCAGCCAUGCCGCGUGCGGGAAGAAGGCCUUCGGGAUGUAAACCGCAUUUGUCAGGGAAGAAAUCCUUUGGGUUAAUACCUCGGGGGG